GUGGAAGACCUGCAGGGCCGAGGGCGUCAGGGCACCUGCCACCCCCACGCUCCCAGGGGCCCGGCUCGUUUUCUACCCCUCAGGGGCCCUGGACAGCUGUCCUUGAGGGCCUGGUGGCUGCACAGAUGCUUAGGAAGGGAAGCCGGCGCUCAAGGGCUCCCAUCUGUCUCCACCCUGGCUGUGGCUCCCGGGGCCACACCAGCCACCCUCGGCAUGACCCGGAGCGGGCGCAGACCCCGGCCUGUGGGACCGACCCUUCCCCCUCCACGCCCCACUCAGCUCGGCGGCCAGCGCUGACCUUUCCGCUGCUGCAUAGUUCUAUGCAGAAGGAAAAAAAAAUUCUUUUAAAGCAAAAGCCAAACAAA